CCGCGCUUGCGCACUGCCGCCCCGCCGCGACCCGGCGCCGGGAUCGCCGAACAAAAGUGGCUCCUGGUGGCGCUCCUGGUGGCGCUCCCGGCCGCUCUUCUUCUCCGCCCCCACCUCCAGCCAAACCCGCGGGAAACGGGACCACGUCAGCCCGAGGUUAGGGACACUUUCCAAUGGGACGGGAGAUGGCCCACUUUCCCAUUCCUGGUCUCCUCUGGCUCUCGCCUCAUCCCUCUUUGCCCGUCUUCUCGUACUUCAUUUAAGUUCUCUUCCUGCCCCCGGUACACUAAGCGCGGCCACUCAGGAGAUUAACUUAGUCAUGUCUCCAGAUUCCUCCACUGCCUGAUGGCUACCGUGUUGUUUAAACAGUCUGAAAAUUGAUCUCUUGACUGUACCUUUAAUGAUUUUUUUUUUUUUUACACUCACAAUUGAACUCUCAAGAGAUGUCAUUGAAAUUUUUAAAGACUGGUGUUAAAAAUCGUAGACGUGCCCGGUCAAUGUGACAUGAAACAAUUAUAACCACAGCUGCGGAGAUCGCAUUUUAGAACUCCCAGCCCCACAGCCAGGUGGUUGACGUCUAUGAGUGGACAUAGCAUCGUGGAGUUACCAUCUUCAUCAAUUAACGUUGGAAAGCUUUGUGCCGUGUUGGUAGCAUCCUACUAUGUUUGAGAGAAGCUGGGGAGAAAUGGUGCAACCAUAUUACUCAAACUAAACUGUUAAACGUUUACACUGAUAAAUUACUGUAGGUUCAUAUUCCUCUGCAGCACACAAAAUACCCCAGCGAACGGAGGCAACAAAUGGCCCUUUCAGCGUAUGUCAACAUGCCGCUCCCUUGCUUCUAUUGUCAGCAGAAGUUGUUGGAAUUUUUUUUCAACUCAGGACCCUAGGGUCCUUCUGGCCUCCUAUUCAGGGCAUUUGGCGGUGACUUCUGUGUUUGUUGGGCCUCGAAAGUGUGGGGGCUUCUUCUCCCCGACCCCAGUACUAGCCUUUAGGAGGCCCUUAAGUGAGGAAUCGCUGUGAUUACUUUGUGAGCUUUGCUGAAGGCUCACGAAACUAUGGCCUGUCCUAAGUACCAUCAUGGGUUUGGUCGAGCAGGGCUCACCAAAUGCAAUCCAAAAAGGCUGGCUCUGGCUCCUUCCAUUCCAGGUUCAGCCCAGCUUGGAUGGGGUCCCCUCUACCUGGCGCUUUACCUGGGCAGCCAGGUAAAGUGGACUGCCCAGGCACCUGUGUUCCAAGAGCCAGAGUGACAGGAUUCCUACUAUAAUCUGUAAAUGUCACUGGAUUUUAGUAAAAUUUCAUAAUAAGUUCGUUGGGCAUGUAUGUAAUUGAAUCAACAGAAAGGAUGUUCAAGUUGUCCAUA
rnacentral:lncRNA from 1 species